rnacentral:piRNA from 1 species
GCUCUAAACUUAAAGCAGUUCAUUUAAA